rnacentral:rRNA from 1 species
CCUACGGGAGGCAGCAGUGGGGAAUAUUGCGCAAUGGGCGAAAGCCUGACGCAGCGACGCCGCGUGCGGGAUGAAGGUCUUCGGAUCGUAAACCUCUGUCAGCAGGGAAGUACGGUCACUGUGGUAAUCAGCAGUGAAUUGACGGUACCUGCAAAGGAAGCACCGGCUAACUCCGUGCCAGCAGCCGCGGUAAUACGGAGGGUGCGAGCGUUAAUCGGAAUUACUGGGCGUAAAGCGAUCGUAGGCGGUAUGUCAAGUCAAGGGUGAAAGCACCGCGCUCAACGUGGGAACUGCCUUUGAAACUGGCAAACUGGAGUGUGCGGGAGGAUGGUGGAAUUCCAGGUGUAGGAGUGAAAUCCGUAGAUAUCUGGAGGAACCUCGGUUGCGAAGGCGACUAUCUGGCACAUAACUGACGCUGAGGAGCGAAAGCGUGGGUAGCAAACAGGAUUAGAUACCCGGGUAGUC